rnacentral:rRNA from 1 species
UGGGGAAUAUUGCACAAUGGGCGCAAGCCUGAUGCAGCCAUGCCGCGUGUAUGAAGAAGGCCUUCGGGUUGUAAAGUACUUUCAGCGGGGAGGAAGGGAGUAAAGUUAAUACCUUUGCUCAUUGACGUUACCCGCAGAAGAAGCACCGGCUAACUCCGUGCCAGCAGCCGCGGUAAUACGGAGGGUGCAAGCGUUAAUCGGAAUUACUGGGCGUAAAGCGCACGCAGGCGGUUUGUUAAGUCAGAUGUGAAAUCCCCGGGCUCAACCUGGGAACUGCAUCUGAUACUGGCAAGCUUGAGUCUCGUAGAGGGGGGUAGAAUUCCAGGUGUAGCGGUGAAAUGCGUAGAGAUCUGGAGGAAUACCGGUGGCGAAGGCGGCCCCCCUGGACGAAGACUGACGCUCAGGUGCGAAAGCGUGGGGCAGCAAACAGGAUUAGAUACCCUGGUAGUCCACGCCGUAAACGAUGUCGACUUGGACGGUUGUGCCC